UACGAAGGGUGCAAGCGUUACUCGGAAUUACUGGGCGUAAAGCGUGCGUAGGUGGUUUGUUAAGUCUGUUGUGAAAGCCCCGGGCUCAACCUGGGAAUGGCAAUGGAUACUGGCAAGCUAGAGUGCGGUAGAGGGUAGUGGAAUUCCCGGUGUAGCGGUGAAAUGCGUAGAGAUCGGGAGGAACACCAGUGGCGAAGGCGGCUACCUGGACCAGCACCGACGUUCAGGCACGAAAGCGUGGGGAGCAAACAGG
rnacentral:rRNA from 1 species